rfam:Bacteroides sp. CAG:144 genomic scaffold, scf200
UCUUCAGUAGCUCAGUCGGUUAGAGCAUCUGACUGUUAAUCAGAGGGUCGUAGGUUCAAGUCCUACCUGAAGAG